rnacentral:lncRNA from 1 species
ACUUAUCCUAGUGGUUCUCAGGGGCAGUGAUGGGUGUGCUCGUUAGCAGGCUCAUUCCACCAAUGCAAGAACCAGGCAAGAUCAGAGGAGGACACAGAUGAGUGGUCUCGCCCACCUGCAAGUGUGGGCUUGAAUGGUGUUGCUAUGGGACUCUGCGGCACUACGCUUGGCUAUGCUCUGACUCUCUCUGCCUAAUACUUCAUGCCAAGAUUUUUUGAGACAGGAUCGCAUACCGUCACCCAAGCUGAAGUGCAAUGGUGCGAACAUGGCUCACUGCAGCCUAGACCGACUGAGCUAUGCAGUCUUCCCACCUCAGCCACCCGAAUAGGUGGGACUAUAGUUAGCUUCUUCCUGGAAUCCUGAAUCUUCCUGCUACAGGAUUUAGAGUGAGUUUAUACCUAUUAUAUUACUUCAUAUAAUUUUAAGAGAUCAUGAUAAAGAAUGAAGAUAAAUACUUGUGGCUACUCUUC